GCUGGCGGCAGGCUUAACACAUGCAAGUCGAACGGGCACCUUCGGGUGUCAGUGGCAGACGGGUGAGUAACACGUGGGAACGUGCCCUUCGGUUCGGAAUAACUCAGGGAAACUUGAGCUAAUACCGGAUACGCCCUUCUGGGGAAAGGUUUACUGCCGAAGGAUCGGCCCGCGUCUGAUUAGCUUGUUGGUGGGGUAACGGCCUACCAAGGCGACGAUCAGUAGCUGGUCUGAGAGGAUGAUCAGCCACACUGGGACUGAGACACGGCCCAGACUCCUACGGGAGGCAGCAGUGGGGAAUAUUGGACAAUGGGCGCAAGCCUGAUCCAGCCAUGCCGCGUGAGUGAUGAAGGCCUUAGGGUUGUAAAGCUCUUUUGUCCGGGACGAUAAUGACGGUACCGGAAGAAUAAGCCCCGGCUAACUUCGUGCCAGCAGCCGCGGUAAUACGAAGGGGGCUAGCGUUGCUCGGAAUCACUGGGCGUAAAGGGCGCGUAGGCGGCCGAUUAAGUCGGGGGUGAAAGCCUGUGGCUCAACCACAGAAUUGCCUUCGAUACUGGUUGGCUUGAGACCGGAAGAGGACAGCGGAACUGCGAGUGUAGAGGUGAAAUUCGUAGAUAUUCGCAAGAACACCAGUGGCGAAGGCGGCUGUCUGGUCCGGUUCUGACGCUGAGGCGCGAAAGCGUGGGGAGCAAACAGGAUUAGAUACCCCUGGUAGUCCACGCCGUAAACGAUGAAUGCCAGCCGUUGGCCUGCUUGCA
rnacentral:rRNA from 1 species